GGGGGAWAGCMCGCGAAAGCGGGAUWAAUAGACCAUACGCUCUACGGAGGAAAGCGGGGGAUCUUAGGACCUCUCGCUACAGGGCCGGCCGAUGGCAGAUUAGCUAGUUGGUGGGGUAAAGGCCUACCAAGGCGACGAUCUGUAGCUGGUCUGAGAGGACGACCAGCCACACUGGGACUGAGACACGGCCCAGACCCCUACGGGAGGCAGCAGUGGGGAAUUUUGGACAAUGGGGGCAACCCUGAUCCAGCAAUGCCSCGUGUGUGAAGAAGGCCWUMGGGUUGUAAAGCACUUUUGUCCGGAAAGAAAUCCUCUGGGUUAAUACCCCGGGGGGAUGACGGUACCGGAAGAAUAAGCACCGGCUAACUACGUGCCAGCAGCCGCGGUAAUACGUAGGGUGCAAGCGUUAAUCGGAAUUACUGGGCGUAAAGCGUGCGCAGGCGGUCCGCUAAGACAGAUGUGAAAUCCCCGGGCUUAACCUGGGAACUGCAUUUGUGACUGGCGGGCUAGAGUAUGGCAGAGGGGGGUAGAAUUCCACGUGUAGCAGUGAAAUSCGUAGAGAUGUGGAGGAAUACCGAUGGCGAAGGCAGCCCCCUGGGCCAAUACUGACGCUMAUGCACGAAAGCGUGGGGAGCAAACAGGAUUAGAUACCCUGGUAGUCCACGCCCUAAACGAUGUCAACUAGUUGUCGGGUCUDAAUUGACUUGGUAACGCUACKAACGCGUGAAGUUGACCGCCUGGGGAGUACGGUC
rnacentral:rRNA from 1 species